GUCGCCCAGAAGCGGCUGGUGGCUCGGUUCAGCUACCGACCAGUCCUCCCAGAAACACCUUUCCCCGUAGGGUUGUGGAAGACUUGUUUUAGCGAGGUCUGGGUUUAAUUUAGUGUGGUGAAUAAAUUCACGUGUUUUUUUUUUUUGAGUACUGCAAUGAACACUAAAUCGAAUAGUAGGCCUUGUGCUUUUGGGCCGAAUACUUGUCGUUCCUAGGUCCAAUAGUGUGUUGUCGAUGCGGCCCAGUACAGA